GCACUUGGGGUAAGACUGCUCCAUUGGAUUGUUCUGAUACGUUAGAAACCUUUUCUAUCAUCCUUAUGAUAGUACUUGCUGCCGCUUGACCUUUAGCAAGGGAACUCAGGUUUGGAGCUGCUUGUCCAAGAGCACUGCAAAGGACUAGGACUCCAGCAUACCAAAGAAGUAGAGCCCAGGCACAGAAAAGUAUCCCAUAUGUACAACCCACACCGACUCCUUUUGCAAGUCCGCUUUUCCUGCCCAGUUUCAGUGCAUUUUCGAGUGAUCUCGAGUAUGCUGCUAUAGCUUUGUCUUCCCCAACAUACGAGUAUACGGUACGGACUUGUGAGAUUACCUAAGACAAAACAAAGAUAAGGAUAGUUGAGGUCAGUGGAAUGCGCAGCUAUACAUUGAUAUCAUGGCCACUGCUCCUAGAUAGACCAACUCCAGUGCAUGCUGCAAUGAUGGAACAGGUCAGUAUGUUUAUAAAUUCUUUGGUAAAAAAUAUUAUAUUGUCCUCAGCGCAUGAAAGUUUAACGCUUCAUCUCUCUUUUUCAAUAUUUCAACUGUUUAUUUAUGCUAGCAAUAUAGUCUUUUUAAGACUUUGUUUGAGACGGAUUUUUUAAAGCAAUUUUCUAAUAUAAAAAAUUAAAAUUUGUACCAUAAACUGUUUUAAGCAGUAAGAAAGUCAUCCCAAAUGAAAUUUAAGUCAAAGAGAUCUGAAAAUUAUGAUUGUGAAUUGUAUCACCAGUCUAAUAUAGGGAUCAAAAAUAUACCAAAUGCAAGCACGGCUUACUAUUGAAUAGGAUUUAAUGGAAGGUCAGUUGAAAUUUGACCAAAUGAGCUUGAUAUAGCAAUGGUAGAAAAUGGGCAUUGAUGAAAAAGUAUUUGACCAAAUAACCACUUUUUUUUUUCUUCCAAUAACGACCUCCUACUCGUUUUAUGGACAAAUGGUAGCUAAUGAAAACAAUACAUGCAAAACAUGGAAAUUCUUACAUUAUAAAUAGAAGGAAUUCUUACAUUUUGUCUCAAAAUGUUUGGCUUCCUUCUAUGUAGGUAAACAUUGGCUUUUGAAACCUAGCAAUCAAUUCUAUUCACUGUCAUUUUGAAGAGAUUUUUUUUUUUUGGAUUAAUUUGUUCGUUGUGCCCGAAGUUAUGAGCAUGUUUUCAACCUGAAGUAUGUAGUGUAUUGAAUGCAUACUUCUUGUUUGUCUUUAUGUAAAGGCCCAACAUGGAUAAGUGAAAUUUAGGCUUCGUUUGGAACGGAUUUCUUACUGCUUCUUAAUGUUGUUUUCUAUUAUUGUAAUAAAAAACAGCUUUAAGAAGCAGUAAGAAAGCCGUCCCAAACGAAACCUUAAUUGCAUUCUAGUUUUUCACCUCAAUGAAAUCCUAAUUUGUCAUUUAUCUAGUGGAGGAUUCCUACCUUUCUUUCGGUGGAAGAAAUCAAAGUUGCUUCUCCAUCCUAGCUAAGAAAUCAUCAGUGGACAUUUGAAAGAGUAAAAUGAGAGAUUAUGGUAGAAAGAUCUACUCAUUUUUUUCACUAUUUUCUUGUUGCUCUUUUAACAGAAAAUCUAGCACAAGAAGGUUGAGUUCUUAGAGGGCACUUAACC